UAGAUUGAAGCCAGUUGAUUAGGGUAUUUAGCUGUUAACUAAAAGGUCGUGGGGUAAUAGCCCACCAAUCUAG
rnacentral:tRNA from 1 species